rnacentral:lncRNA from 1 species
AGUAUUUUUGCUUUUCAGUGUAUCUUUCAGGCAAAAAGUAGUAGGACCUUAACUUUUUAUCUGGGGAUAUAAUUUAGGUGUAGAGCACUUGCUUAGCGAGUUACGAAUCUCUGAAUUUGAGCCCCAGAACCCUCCAAAAUUAUAUAUAUAUAUAGGCUGCUUGAAGCUCCUCAAUGAUCCCACUUACAAAAGGAUUACAUAGAAAAAUACACCUGUUUUUAAAAUAUACUUGAUUUAGAAAAACUAUUGCAGAAAGUAAUAAAAAUUUCACAGGUUAGUGAUAAAUGGUCUAAUAUACUGUUCAAGUGAACAUAUAGUGAACUAGAGCAAUUAAAGAGUGUUUCUCAAACUAAUGUCAAUAGAAGUCACCUGGAGUUUUGUUCAAAAUGCGGAUUUUGAUUUAGUAGUAGGGGCUGGAGCCUGAGAUUAUGCAUCUUAAACAAACUCCCAGGUGAUGCGGAUUCCUUCCCCACCCCCUUACACCGAUUUGAACCAUUCUGUAAGUGCCCCAGUCAUGGCCUACUGGAUACCUCUGUCCCUUUCCUCUGUUCCUUCUUGAGUAAUCUUUAUUGUUCUCUCUAGCUAGCCAAUUCACGAGGUUAGGCAUGAGGGUGGAGGGAGAAACUUAGGUUCUAAGUUCCUGCUGGUUGCUUCCGUAUGUGUGAUAUAGGUCUGGUUACUAAUCUUCUAUUUCUUCACUGCUAAACUAGAUGUAAUAAUAACUAUCCUUUCACGUGGAAUUAUUGUGUGGUUCAGAUGUCAUAAAGUUGUGAAAGGACCCUGAAGACUUCACAGUGUUGUAUACAUGUUAAGUUAUUAAAGUAAACAUUCAGGCAUUAACUGGCCAUUUUGUGAAAUAAAUGUAUAAUAGUAAUAAUAGGUAUGGGUAAAAUUUAUGCAACUUUUACCAGGUAUUGUGUUUAUUAGCUCCCCUUUACAAAUGAAGAAACUGAAGCACAGAUUAGGUUUCUAUCCUAAGUGAUAGAAGGAGAAUUUGAUUUCAUAUGCUUAAUUUAAGAAUAUUUAUUUCAUAGAGUAACAUGUUUUAUAUUUCUACUUUAAAUGUCAUCUGAAUCUAACUUAUUUCUCCUAUUUCAUUUUUUUAGAAGCCAGGGUACAAGAAUAGUAGGAAACAUUCCCAUUUACCUAAGGGGAAGUCAUAAUAUCCAGGGAGGUCCAAAAAGAAAAGCCCCAGAGAAACCAAUUUGAGUUACCUUAAUCUAAACAAGCUUCAGUGUAAAGGUAUGAUGGAACAUUACUGCUGUGGAUUAACAGAGCACAAUAGACUGGAAAAAUUUGGGGUCAGAGUUCUUAACUUUUUUGUGCCUCAAACCACUUUGACAAUCUGAUAAAACCACCCACCAUUUUCAGAAUAAUGUUUUAUACAUGUAUAAAAUGAAAUUCAUUGUAUUCUA